UUCCCAUCAAUUUCAGUGGUUUUUAUUCUACUUUUUCUUCUUUUUUCUUUCGUUUCCUCUUUUCUUCUUCGCGAUUCCUCUGCUUUACCGUCCGAUAAACAGGAAUCUAGUUUGUUUAGAAGAUCCGGGGAUUGGUUUCGAUCGUGAUCUGGAGUUUGCUCUUUCCGGUGGUUUAAAGGUCUUCAAUUGAUUCCUGUAGCCGCCUUUAAGAAAGCUUGAAUUUUUCGGCGGUGGAAGAGUGGGAAAGGAGUUGAAAGAUAUGGGAAAAGGAGAUGAUUUGCUGGUGAAGAGAGGUGAACAUGUGCCGCUUGAUUUUGAAGGUCCAAUCUUGGUUUGUAGUAGGAAUGAUGAUCUCGAGGCUGUGCUUGAGGCCACUCCUAAAUCUCGUAGGAAUGAUUUGGUUUUUUUUUUCAGAGUGGCAUUCUGGAGCCAUGGCUUCAAAGCAAAGGUCUUAAUGAUGCAAACCAGGGGCUAGCAUAUUUUACAGUUUCAAAGCUUGGAGAACCUCCUACGGAUGGCAAGACUGAUACAAAUCCUAAAGGUCUAACUGCAGCUUAUGGGAAAUGUGCAUCUUCUAUAGCUACCAGAUUGCAUGCUGGUGGCCUCUCUUGCAAGCUUUGCUUGUUGAAAAUGGGAAGUUCCUUCUUUGUGCAAAACGGACCCGUAGAACUACUUGCACAGAGUAUGUUAGUUCAAGAUUAUGUAUUUUUUUAAGUUUUAUUUUCUUUCCCCUCAUUUUUCAACUGUAUUAUCAAGCAAUGAAUGGAAAAAAAUGAGGUAGUGAAA